rnacentral:rRNA from 1 species
GAUCCUGGCUCAGGACGAACGCCGGCGGCGUGCUUAACACAUGCAAGUCGAACGAGAAUCUACUGAAAGAGUUUUCGGACAAUGGAUGUAGAGGAAAGUGGCGGACGGGUGAGUAACGCGCGAGGAACCUGCCUUGAAGAGGGGGACAACAGUUGGAAACGACUGCUAAUACCGCAUGACGCAUAGGGGUCGCAUGAUCUUUAUGCCAAAGAUUUAUCGCUUCAAGAUGGCCUCGCGU